AUCUUCCACUGAUGAGAAGCCUAUUGACCCCUAUUGGUGCUACCAGCCAUCUGUCCCUGCUGUAUGAUCCCACAUUCCUUCAGGAGGCUCAGCUUCAGAAAAAACACAGCCAAGUCUGACAUCAUCACUGAAAUUUUCCUGCAUUCAGUUAUUCAAACAUCAAGAGGCAGGCUCUCCGACAUGCUGAUGUCCCCUCACUGCAUCUCCAGCAUGACAGCUCUUGGACAGUGCCUCCCAUAAUCUUCCUGAAAAUAAGAUGUGCUGGUGUAAGUGGUGGCAGGAGCAGUGUCAAGGCAGACUUCUGAAAAGUUAUCUGGGCUCUCUGAACUUGCCUUCUCCAGUGGCCAUAAAUAACAUUGAUUUGAGAAAUUA